ACCAAGCCAACCCCAGUAGCCCACCUAGGGUUCAGAAAUCAAAGCCCUUCCCCUCUUUCUCUAUAUCUUUCAUUGCUAGUCCUUUAAAAACUUUUAUUCUGAUUUCAAAUCACAAGUCUUGUAUCAAGGCAGAACUUGUCGACUAAGCUUUCAAAAACUUCAAUUUCUAGGAGAAGCAAAAUUCAAAAGCAUUCGGCUUCCCUACAGUCUGCAUUUUAGGAGAAAGAAGAUGAAUGCAAAUAGUUCUGCCCCUAGCUCAACCACCAAGAGGCUUCAAGGUAAGGUGGCUUUGAUAACAGGCGGAGCCAGUGGAAUUGGCAAAUCCAGUGCAAGGCUGUUUGUUAAACAAGGAGCCAAGGUAGUCAUCGCAGACGUCCAAGAUGAGCUUGGCCACUCUUUUUGUAAAGAAAUUGGCUCAGAAGAAAUUGUUUCCUAUGUCCAUUGUGAUGUAACAUGUGACUCUGAUGUCCAAAACGCUGUGGAUUUGACCGUCUCCAAGCAUGCCAAACAUGCUUCCAGGGUCAUGAUUCCUGCCAAGAGAGGCUGUAUUCUCUUUACUGCAAGUGUUGUUUCAGUGAAUUGCAUAAAGGCUCCGCAUCCAUAUACGGUAUCAAAACAUGCACUAGUUGGUUUGGCUAAGAGCCUGUGCGUGGAGCUGGGCCAAUAUGGGAUAAGAGUCAAUUGUAUCUCACCAUUUGCAAUUGUAACCCCAAUGCUAAAGAAAUACAAGGGGCUCAUGGAAAUGGAGAAGGAGAAGAUCCAGGAAGCCGUUUCAACUGCAGGUAACUUGAAAGAUGUUGUGUUGGAAGAGGAAGACAUAGCAGAGGCAGCUGUGUAUUUGGGAAGUGAUGAAUCCAAGUAUGUGAGCGGAAUCAAUCUAAUGGUUGAUGGAGGUUUUAGUCUUACAAAUCCCUCCUUUGCUAUGGCCAUGAAAAGCUUACUUUCUUAAGCUUGGAUUUUAGUGGAUUGCCUUGUCUCAAAAACAAGGAAGCUUUUCUUACAAAUGAAAUUUGUAUCAAACAAAUCAUAUGGUUGAUAAUCACGGUAGUAUUUAAUAAAGAAAUUCAUGAUUUCAUUCCUUGAGUGUGUUGAUAGAGGAAGCUCACAUAUAUUACGCCAGUGUUAUUAAACUAUGCG
rnacentral:misc_RNA from 1 species